UACGUAGGGUGCGAGCGUUGUCCGGAAUUAUUGGGCGUAAAGAGCUUGUAGGCGGUUUGUCGCGUCUGCCGUGAAAAUCCGGGGCUCAACCCCGGACUUGCGGUGGGUACGGGCAGACUAGAGUGUGGUAGGGGAGACUGGAAUUCCUGGUGUAGCGGUGAAAUGCGCAGAUAUCAGGAAGAACACCUAUGGCGAAGGCAGCUCUCUGGGACGGUACUGACGCUGAGACGCGAAAGCGUGGGGAGCGAACAGG
rnacentral:rRNA from 1 species